UUCUCAGCUUGGUUCUUUUCUUUGUAUUAACAUUUGGUUGAUGCCUCAUCAUGUGCACUUUUGUAUACAGUUAACAUACAUGUCCCUUAGUAGUGUCAUUGAUGUCUUUUUGUUAAUCUUCAGCAAUAUUCUUAAUUUCAAAGCUUAAUUCUAUACAUUAACUUCAAUAGUUCACUGUUGUUCCCUUCUAUUGCAUUAUUCUUUUGCUGAUAUUGAUAUGAGUUACAGAUUCAUACUUAGUGUUUAACUUUCAAAUGAAUCUAUGGGAUAUUUAUAGUCAGUGAAUGCUGUUCUGUUGGAUUUUGAAGAAAUUUUAUAAGCAGUGUGAUCCUGGUCAGUGCUCACUGUUUCAGUCUCCUUUUCUAAAUUUUAUUCCCUGCUGA
rnacentral:lncRNA from 1 species